GAUCGGUGGUUAGCGAGCGCAGAAACUGGGUGGUUAGCGAGGGAAGAACUCGAGGCGAAGGGCAAGGGGUUAAGAGAGGCGGCGGUGACGCGGCGGAGCAGGAGGGGACUGGAGCCUCGGGUCGCAUACCAGUGGCAGCGGCGAACGCAUCAAGAAGGGCGUCGGAGGACGUCCUGCUACGGAGGGGUAGGAGGUAGUCGGUGGCGACACCCGACACCAAGACCUGGCCAGUGUCCAGCGACGAGUCCUCGUCUCCUCCUGCCGCCCCUCCCUCUUCCUCGUAUCCUCCUGCCGUGACCCCCUUCCUCGUCGCUCCGGCCUCCGGCUCUACCGCGAGUGCAGUACACAGCCUGCGACGAGCAGCCGGGAGCAACAGCAGGAGUUAGAUCGUACUACACACUUCCAGACUCUGUUUUUUCUUCUCCUUCUUAAAACUGCUUCUCAACCCAGUACCCCUUGUUCCAGUAGUCUUAUAUGUAUUGACAACGGCUUCGGGAGAACGAUUUCCAUAUUAUGAGGGGGGGAAUCGUUUCCCACUUAAGAGACCAAAACUAACCGGCCCUAUUUGAGGUACUCAGAACUCCUAAAAGCCUUACAACCUUAGUCACCACAAAACAAAAACUACUAUAAUAGGCUACCUCCACUGUCCCUCUCUUCUACGAUCGAGUUACCACGACCGGCACUUCCUAAAACCGCGUAGGUUCCUAUAUUGGUUGUAUUUGUGUUACGAAUGUUCCUCUAUAGCUGAGUAAACUAACGAUAUAACCGAAACCAGUGGGAACACCCCGAGGAAUAGAAACUUCGUUCCAAGCCUACGAGAAACCUGCGUCCUUCUGCUUGUACUAUCUUUUUCUUUCCCUAGUUGGAACGGUACUGGGGUAUAAAGACAUCCGAUUAUAGGGAAUAAACGUGAUAGGAUGUGGCUUAUGAAUAUCCCAAUACACGGAAACGGUACGUCGUGUACAGUUACCGUCAAGUCCUUCUCUACUGUAGUGUUCACUCGAUUUAACUAUUCGGGUGAUCGUCUUUUUACACCAAACUCCACUAAAAGAACAAAAUAGAUUUAUCACUUAUAAGAAUAAUACAAGACCGAGAUCUUUCUUGAUUCGUAUUGUAUGACUUAGACCUCGAAAUAAAGUUGAUGUAAAUAUAGUAACUUUUAGAACUUAUAUGAAAACGAAACUACCGGACAGUGAUUAGUCCUCUAUCCAAUGAGGGAGGAAGGGCACGUAACCGGUAGACACACACGGAUCCAGCGCUACGUCGAGGAAUCAACGGAUUACGUGGCUGUCUCCCUCAUGUUUGGAAGUUUAUCUGACUAAAUCAAACCGACUAACAAAUAAGAAUAAGUAACACCUUAUCCUAUCGGUAUACAUAAAUAAAACGGGAGGUAGAAAAAUUAAGAUGUAUUUUCAUGUAGUAAAACAAUAAAUAAAUGAUUAUUA
rnacentral:rRNA from 1 species